CAAAACACCGGUUGCCGUACAAUCACCAUAGUUAAGCAACGUCAAGCCUGGUCAGUACUUCGAUGGGUGAAGGCUUGGGAAUAUCAGGUGAUGUCA